UACGAAGGCAGCAGUGGGGAAUAUUGCACAAUGGGCGCAAGCCUGAUGCAGCCAUGCCGCGUGUAUGAAGAAGGCCUUCGGGUUGUAAAGUACUUUCAGUCGUGAGGAAGGUGUUAAGGUUAAUAACCUUAGCAAUUGACGUUAGCGACAGAAGAAGCACCGGCUAACUCCGUGCCAGCAGCCGCGGUAAUACGGAGGGUGCGAGCGUUAAUCGGAAUUACUGGGCGUAAAGGGCACGCAGGCGGUUAAUUAAGUUGGAUGUGAAAUCCCCGGGCUUAACCUGGGAAUGGCAUUCAAGACUGGUUAGCUAGAGUCUUGUAGAGGGGGUAGAAUUCCAUGUGUAGCGGUGAAAUGCGUAGAGAUGUGGAGGAAUACCGGGUGGCGAAGGCGGCCCCUGGGACAAAGACUGACGCUCAUGUGCGAAAGCGUGGGGAGCAAACAGGGAUUAGAUACC
rnacentral:rRNA from 1 species